rnacentral:rRNA from 1 species
GAUGAACGCUGGCGGCGUGCCUAAUACAUGCAAGUCGAGCGAACAGACGAGGAGCUUACUCCUCUGACGUUAGCGGCGGACGGGUGAGUAACACGUGGAUAACCUACCUAUAAGACUGGGAUAACUUCGGGAAACCGGAGCUAAUACCGGAUAACAUGUUGAAACGCAUGGUUCAACAGUGAAAGACGGUCUUGCUGUCACUAAUAGAUGGAUCCGCGUCGCAUUAGCUAGUUGGUAAGGUAACGGCUUACCAAGGCAACGAUCAUUAGCCGACCCGAGAGGGUGAUCGGCCACACUGGAACUGAGACACGGUCCAGACCCCUACGGGAGGCAGCAGUAGGGAAUCUUCCGCAAUGGGCGAAAGCCUGACGGAGCAAAGCCGCGUGAGUGAAGAAGGUCUUCGGAUCGUAAAACUCUGUUAUUAGGGAAGAACAAAUGCGUAAGUAACUAUGCACGUCUUGACGGUACCUAAUCAGAAAGCCACGGCUAACUACGUG